ACGCUCGACACCUACGGGAGGCCGCAGUGGGGAAUAUUGCACAAUGGGGGAAACCCUGAUGCAGCGACGCCGCGUGGAGGAAGAAGGUCUUCGGAUUGUAAACUCCUGUUGUUGGGGAAAAAGAGGAUGGUACCCAACAAGGAAGUGACGGCUAACUACGUGCCGGCAGCCGCGGUAAUCUGAGCGGGCUGGCAAGGC
rnacentral:rRNA from 1 species